UUCGGAAUAUUCGGCAAUGGACGAAAGUCUGACCGAGCGACGCCGCGUGCGGGAUGAAGGCCCUCUGGGUUGUAAACCGCUUUAGGGAGUGAGCAAACUAUCCGGUGUGAACAUCAUCGGGUAUUGAGUUAAGCUCCUAAAUAAGCCCCCGCUAAUCACGUGCCAGCAGCGGCGGUAAUACGUGAGGGGCAAACGUUGUUCGGUGUCACUGGGCUUAAAGGGUGCGUAGGUGGUUGCGUAAGUAACGUGUGAAAUCCCCCGGCUUACCCGGGGAAUUGCGCGUUAUACUGCGUGACUUGAGGGCUGUAGGGGAAUGGGGAACUCCAGGUGUAGCGGUGAAAUGCGCAGAUAUCUGGGGGAAGGCCGGCGGCGAAGGCGCCAUUCUGGGCAGUUCCUGACA
rnacentral:rRNA from 1 species